CUGCAGCCUUUUUUUCUAUGAAGCGCUAAUUUUGAUUAAGCUAGGUGGGGAGGUAAGCUUCCCCAGGGGACAAUCAGUACUUGUCGAGAGGACGACCAGCCCACACUGGAACUGAGACCCGGUCCAGACUCCUACGGGAGGCAGCAGUGGGGAAUUUGGACCAUGGGGGCAACCCUGAUCCAGCAUGCCGCGUGAGUGAGGAAGGCCUUCGGGUUGUAAAGCUCUUUGUCAGGGAAGAAAAGGUCGUGGCUAUAUGCACGGCUCAUGACGGUAGUGAAGAAUAAGCACCGGCUAACUACGUGCCAGCAGCCGCGGUAAUACGUAGGGUGCAAGCGUUAAUCGGAAUUACUGGGCGUAAAGCGUGCGCAGGCGGUUUUGUAAGUCUGUUGUGAAAUCCCCGGGCUUAACCUGGGAAUGGCAAUGGAGACUGCAAGGCUAGAGUUUGGCAGAGGGGGGUAGAAUUCCACGUGUAGCAGUGAAAUGCGUAGAGAUGUGGAGGAACACCGAUGGCGAAGGCAGCCCCCUGGGUCAAGACUGACGCUCAUGCACGAAAGCGUGGGGAGCAAACAGGAUUAGAUACCCUGGUAGUCCACGCCCUAAACGAUGUCUACUAGUUGUUGGGUCUUAAUUGACUUAGUAACGCAGCUAACGCGUGAAGUAGACCGCCUGGGGAGUACGGUCGCAAGAUUAAAACUCAAAGGAAUUGACGGGGACCCGCACAAGCAGUGGAGUAUGUGGUUUAAUUCGAAGCAACGCGAAGAACCUUACCAAGUCUUGACAUCCCAAUGAAAACACCAGAGAUGGUGUCCCUCUUCGGAGCAUUGGUGACAGGUGGUGCAUGGUUGUCGUCAGCUCGUGUCGUGAGAUGUUGGGUUAAGUCCCGCAACGAGCGCAACCCUUGAUUUUAGUUGCCAGCACUUUGGGUGGGCACUCUAGAAUGACUGCCGGUGACAAACCGGAGGAAGGUGGGGAUGACGUCAAGUCCUCAUGGCCCUUAUGGGUAGGGCUUCACACGUCAUACAAUGGUACAUACAGAGGGCCGCCAACCCGCGAGGGGGAGCUAAUCCCAGAAAGUGUAUCGUAGUCCGGAUUGUAGUCUGCAACUCGACUGCAUGAAGUUGGAAUCGCUAGUAAUCGCGGAUCAGCAGCGCGUUGCGACCCAACUAAAACGCCC
rnacentral:rRNA from 1 species